UACGAAGGGGGCUAGCGUUGCUCGGAAUCACUGGGCGUAAAGCGCACGUAGGCGGAUUGCUAAGUCAGGGGUGAAAUCCUGGAGCUCAACUCCAGAACUGCCUUUGAUACUGGCGAUCUCGAGUCCGGGAGAGGUGAGUGGAACUGCGAGUGUAGAGGUGAAAUUCGUAGAUAUUCGCAAGAACACCAGUGGCGAAGGCGGCUCACUGGCCCGAUACUGACGCUGAGGCACGAAAGCGUGGGGAGCAAACAGG
rnacentral:rRNA from 1 species